UCCUCUAAAAUUAAGAAUUAAACUGAUUGAAGAUAUCGGGAGAUCAAAAAGGAUUUGAAUCUCAUAACGAUAUAUUAACGAUGCUUGUACAUUAUAGAACUUCUUAAUAAUGUAUGCAUAUGCAUCCACCGGUUCCAAACAACGGUUCAAGCAUAUUACGGAAAAUCGACUCAACCUUUCAACGUUAAUCCUUUAACCACUUAAAAUGGAUAUCACGGCCUUAAGAUAUUACUCUAGGCUACACUGAAAAUUCACUACUACACAUACAGAUUUUCCAGCAUAUCAUAAUAGCUCCAAACUUACACAUAUUAGUGGGACAGAAACCAAGCUCUAUUAUCAAACCCAACUACAGACAAAUUAUACGGUAGGCUCAUAUUAUGUUUCAACCACAUAAUUCACAAGAAAAAUAGAGAAAAAGAAAAGAGAUGGCUUUAAAAUUAUACGCUAGGCUCAUAUUAUGUUUCAACCACAUAAUUCACAAGAAAAAUGGAGAAAAAGAGAAGAGAUGGGCCUGAAAAUUAGACUUUCGUUGUCUGAAAUUUUCAACAAUUACACGAGCAAAUGAACCAAACGCUGCAACUGGAAAUCUGAUAGAAACUCGGCGCAAUCAUGAGCCAACUCUGAACAGCCUUGACCUCAAUCAGAUUCCAUAAUUUUAAAACGAAAAAAAAUCAGACUGAGUUUGCUCGGCACUAACGGAAACAAAGACUCCGAAUCUCGGCGGCACCUAAUGGACGACAACGAAUCUGAAUCCACCUUGUUUUGGAGAGGAUGGUGAGAUGAGUGGGGGUGGCCGAUAUUUGUGAAGGGGAGUGGAGAUGGGCUGGUGCGCCCCUGUGAGGAGGAGGACGAGAUGGGGUCUGUUGCCCUAGUGUUGCUGGAGAUGGACGACGGCGCUGAACUCUAGGGUUUCAUUGUUGUCUUUUUCCAGUCCCCCCCCCUCCCCCCCCCAGAAGGAGGGUUUCAUUGUUGUCUUUUUCCAGUCCCCCCCCCCCCCCCCCCCCAGAAGGUCUGCUCCUGUAACGUUAGCUUUUUGUUGGAAGAAGACCUGAUGGGUUUUGAU
rnacentral:lncRNA from 1 species